GAUGAACGCUGGCAGAAUGCUUAACACAUGCAAGUCGACUGUGGCGGACGGGUGAGUAACGCGUAAGGAACUUGCCUCCCAGCUAGGGACAACAUUUGGAAACGAGUGCUAAUACCUGAUACUGUGAGAGAGGUUUGCGUCCCAUUAGCUUGUUGGAGAGUUAACGGCUUACCAAGGCGAUGAUGGGUAGCCGGCCUGAGAGGGUGAUCGGCGACAAGGGGACGGAGACACGGCCCUUACUCCUACGGGAGGCAGCAGUGGGGAAUAUUGGACAAUGGACCAAAGUCUUAUAGAGCAAUUGUGUGUGGACUAUGAAUUUUUCGUAAUUUAAAGUGAUGUCAGUUGGGAAGCGGUACUAACAGAAGAAGUAACGGCUAACUACGUGCCAGCAGCCGCGGUAAUAC
rnacentral:rRNA from 1 species